rnacentral:rRNA from 1 species
AUGGAAGACGGCGACAACUCCCGGACCCGCGGCAACGUCGCGCCCGAGACCAGCGACUCCGACGAGGACAAGGUCGUCAUCUACGGUGCGCUCCCCGAACCCCAGUACAACCCCUACGCGCCGCGCCCCAGGCCCGACUACAACAAGCCCCUCCCGUUCGUCCUCGGCCCCGUGCUGUUCCAGCAGCCGGGCAAGGACAUGAAGGAGAUGAUGGAGCAGGAGCACGCGUGCGCCGAGCGCCGCCGCCAGCGUGAAGUGGACGCCGCCGCGGCGGGCAUCUUCAAGCGGCGCAAGGUCACCAUACGCCGCUUCGGGACCGAAGAUCUCCUCUUUCCUAUCCAGAAGCACCUGCCGGAUCUGCCAGAUCAGCCUAGUGCUUUCUGA